AUUGAACGCUGGCGGCAGGCCUAACACAUGCAAGUCGAGCGGGGUUUCGGACCUAGCGGCGGACGGGUGAGUAAUGCGUAGGAAGCUACCCGAUAGAGGGGGAUACCAGUUGGAAACGACUGUUAAUACCGCAUAAUGUCUACGGACCAAAGUGUGGGACCUUCGGGCCACAUGCUAUCGGAUGCGCCUACGUGGGAUUAGCUAGUUGGUGAGGUAAUGGCUCACCAAGGCGACGAUCUCUAGCUGGUUUGAGAGGAUGAUCAGCCACACUGGAACUGAGACACGGUCCAGACUCCUACGGGAGGCAGCAGUGGGGAAUAUUGGACAAUGGGCGCAAGCCUGAUCCAGCCAUGCCGCGUGUGUGAAGAAGGCCUUCGGGUUGUAAAGCACUUUCAGCGAGGAGGAAGAGUUGUGUGUUAAUAGUACACAGCUUUGACGUUACUCGCAGAAGAAGCACCGGCUAACUCUGUG
rnacentral:rRNA from 1 species